rnacentral:rRNA from 1 species
UGCCAGCCGCCGCGGUAAUACGUAGGGUGCAUGCGUUGUCCGGAUUUAUUGGGUUUAAAGGGUGCGUAGGCGGUUUAUUAAGUCAGUGGUUAAAGACUGUGGCUCAACCAUAGCACGCCAUUGAUACUGGUAGACUUGAGUGUGUUAGAGGAAACUGGAAUGUGUGGUGUAGCGGUGAAAUGCAUAGAUAUCACACAGAACACCAAUUGCGAAGGCAGGUUUCUAUAACACUACUGACGCUGAGGCACGAAAGCGUGUGGAGCGAACAGGAUUAGAUA